CUUUGUAGAUACAGGCACAGAAAGGGAACUACAUCUCUUGAGAGAGAAUUCACCUGUUUCUCUGGGAUAACCUUUGAAGAGGGAGUGAAUGAUUGAAAAAAGAAACAACUGUUCUUGCUAAGAAAGCCCAGUAAGUGUGAGUCUCAUUCCAGAGAUGAGACAAUUCUGCAAGGAAUUCUGCUGAAAAUCACCAUGGAUUUCCCUAGACAUUCCCUGCUUUCAGCUGUUUCCAACAGCAAGGUCUAAUGGCGAAAAAAUAGAAGUUUCCUUCUUCAUCCUCUGGGAAAGGAGAGAUAUACUGUUGCUAAGUCUGAUUGCAGUCUACAAAUACUGUCUCCUGCAUUGAAUUCUCACUGAAGUAUAAAUAACUUCUUAACCUCUGGCUGAUAAAGGCAGACUUGCAGGCUGUCAAACUGCUUUGCACACAGCCCUGACUGCAUCCUGGUCUGGAAGCACCUGGAACAAACUGUUUCACCUGGCCUGGGAGCAGCUGCACAGCCACAGUGCUGUGUUUGUCUCUGCUUCUUCCCAGGCAGUUGGAAGGGAUUAUUCCCCAGCCUGGUUCUUCUGCUUAUUACCAUGCUCUGCUGGAGGCAAUUUUCUUCACUGGUGUGCGAGUGUCUGCACCUACAUGAAGCUGCUCUCAAACAUAAAUCCUUUCCAGUAACUAUAUUGACAUAAAUGUUUUUGAUAGUGUGGAUUUUUAAAAUUGCUCAUUUUUUUUCAGGAAAACUUUAGGGGGUGUGUGUGCAUGCAUGUGUUGUCAAUCUGCAGCAACAGCAAGGAACAGGGCAAACAGCUGAAAAGCUGUUUUGGAAAAGUAGUGUCUCAGUGGUGUAAAUAGGGCAGUGUGUCUGACUAAACCUCCUUCUAUGGAGUAUGGCAGGAGCUGCCAUCACAACUGCAGGAAGAUAUCUUAUUGUCAUGCUUUACUGAAUGUAUGACAUCUUUUUUCUCCUACGUAACUAGUCAUCGAAUACUUGGCCCCUACUGGAAGUCAUUCUGAAAUGCUUAAAUUUCAUUUGUCUUUGAAAAUCUCCCCUUUCAUUUUGCCAGUGCCCAACAGCAUGCAAGUCCAGCUAAUUUUGAGAUACUUAAUGGAAGAACAAAUUUUAUAACGUGAAAACAUUGUAUUUUACAAACCUGUUUUGCAUUGCAAAACCCAUAGUGAAGUUGAAUCAGAGGCUUGGCACUGCUAAUUGAUUAUUUGAUAUGCUUUAGCUAAUGUUGUUAUGCUGCCAAAGAUGUGCGUUUCUCUUUUCCCCUUUUUCUCAUUAUGAGGACAAGUUGAUAAAUUAUUUUUUUUACUUUUGAUUUGCACUAAAUUUUCUUUUGUGAAGCUAAGUCUUUUCCCCCUUUUUCUCAGAAAAUUUGGUAAAU
rnacentral:lncRNA from 1 species